rnacentral:rRNA from 1 species
UACGGGGGGGGCAAGCGUUGUCCGGAUUUAUUGGGCGUAAAGAGCUCGUAGGCGGCUUGUCGCGUCGACUGUGAAAUCCCGCGGCUCAACUGCGGGUCUGCAGUCGAUACGGGCAGGCUAGAGUUCGGUAGGGGAGACUGGAAUUCCUGGUGUAGCGGUGAAAUGCGGAGAUAUCAGGAGGAACACCGGUGGCGAAGGCGGGUCUCUGGGCCGAUACUGACGCUGAGGAGCGAAAGCGUGGGGAGCGAACAGG